AACGAACGCUGGCGGCAUGCCUAACACAUGCAAGUCGAACGAGACCUUCGGGUCUAGUGGCGCACGGGUGCGUAACGCGUGGGAACCUGCCCUUAGGUUCGGAAUAACUCCCCGAAAGGGGUGCUAAUACCGGAUAAUGUCUUCGGACCAAAGAUUUAUCGCCUUUGGAUGGGCCCGCGUUGGAUUAGCUAGUUGGUAGGGUAAAAGCCUACCAAGGCGCCGAUCCAUAGCUGGUUUGAGAGGAUGAUCAGCCACACUGGGACUGAGACACGGCCCAGACUCCUACGGGAGGCGGCAGUGGGGAAUAUAGGACAAUGGGGGAAAGCCUGAUCCAGCAAUGCCGCGUGAGUGAUGAAGGCCUUAGGGUUGUAAAGCUCUUUUACCCGGGAUGAUAAUGACAGUACCGGGAGAAUAAGCUCCGGCUAACUCCGUG
rnacentral:rRNA from 1 species